UCUCACACACAGGCAUGGAAUCAUGGGGUAACAUAAACCAUGUAUCAGCAUCUCUCCUCUCUCUCUCUCUCCAAAACAAUCAUAAUAUUGCUCUCCCUCUCUCUAAAACAACCAUAAUAGUGCUAUGUAUCCAUCACAUUUGGGAUGAAGUCAUCAUGAAGGACCGUACAAAUUACAACACACACCUUAUUCUUUUCUGAUAUUCAAAACACCAAUCACAAACAAAAAAACGAAGAGGUAAGAGAGAGAGAGCAAGAACACUGAUGCCGGAAACUGAUGAACUCAUGCUGGAAAGUGAUGCAUGUGAGAGAGAGGAAGAACACGCAUGCCAGAAACUUUUGAACUCCUAUCGGAAAAAGAUGCGUGUAAGAGACAGCAACGUCCAGAGAAUAUCCACACAAAUCUAUAAACCUCAUUAGAAUACUGAUAUAAGGGCCUUCCAUGAAUAUUCGCCUCCGAAAGAGAGAGAUGAAUGCUUAAAGAAGAGAGAGAAAAAAACUAUCAAGAGAGAGAGAUGAAUGCUUGAAGAAGAGAGAGAAAGUAAAUAUCAAGAGCUAGAGAGAGAUGAAUGCUUAAAGAAGAGAGAGUAAGUAACUAUCAAGCGUUAGAGAGAGAUGAACGCUUAAAGAAGAGAAUGAGUAAUGAUUACAGGGAGAGAGAGACGCACGCUGAAAGCAGACAGAGUAACGAUCACAGAGAGAGAAGAACGCUGAAAGCAUAGAGAGAGAGAUGCACGCUGAAAGCAGAUCAGAGAGAGAGAGAAGAACGCUGAAAGCAGAGAGGGAUGAACGCUUAAAGCAGAGAGAGAGAGAGUAACCAUCAGAGAGAGAGAGAGAGAGGGAUUCAGUUAUUGAGCUACCACAAAAAUGUUACUCGGCUUGAUUAUGGUUGGGAAAGUGGGCACUCUGAAAACUCCACACUCUCUCUCUCUUAUGCCAAAACACGCAGCAAUUCCAUAGCGCGUAGGCAAAAACGACCAGGGAAAGCAGCACGAUGACGAUGUCGGCUACCGCCUUCAGGACAUCAGGCAUCAAGUCCCUCGUCAUGGAAAUCAUCAGCAUUACCAUAACGACCCAAAAAAUCAUUUCAGGCCCCGGAUCCUUCUUCGGUCUCCUCCCUCUCUCUUCUCUCCUCUCGCUCUCUUCUCUCCCUCGCUCCCCCUCCAUCCUCAAUCUUUAUUCUUUAGAGAGAGAGAAGUGGUCUGAAAGGUAUUGCAGAGAGAGAGAAUGAUUUUCUUGGAAAAGGAAGAAGAAGAGGGAGGAGAAGGAGAAGAGUAUGAUGGGUUGGAAGAAGUUAGAGAGAGAGAGAGAGCGCUGAGGCCGACUAUGAAGUAACUGACUAACUCACG
rnacentral:lncRNA from 1 species